rnacentral:rRNA from 1 species
UCUACGGGAGGCAGCAGUGGGGAAUAUUGCACAAUGGGCGAAAGCCUGAUGCAGCGACGCCGCGUGAGGGAUGACGGCCUUCGGGUUGUAAACCUCUUUCAGCAGGGAAGAAGCGCAAGUGACGGUACCUGCAGAAGAAGCGCCGGCUAACUACGUGCCAGCAGCCGCGGUAAUACGUAGGGCGCAAGCGUUGUCCGGAAUUAUUGGGCGUAAGGAGCUCGUAGGCGGCUUGUCACGUCGGAUGUGAAAGCCCGGGGCUUAACCCCGGGUCUGCAUUCGAUACGGGCUAGCUAGAGUGUGGUAGGGGAGAUCGGAAUUCCUGGUGUAGCGGUGAAAUGCGCAGAUAUCAGGAGGAACACCGGUGGCGAAGGCGGAUCUCUGGGCCAUUACUGACGCUGAGGAGCGAAAGCGUGGGGAGCGAACAGGAUUAGAUACCCUGGUAGUCCACGCCGUAAACGUUGGGAACUAGGUGUUGGCGACAUUCCACGUCGUCGGUGCCGCAGCUAACGCAUUAAGUUCCCCGCCUGGGGAGUACGGCCGCAAGGCUAAAACUCAAAGGAAUUGACGGA